GAUGAACGCUGGCGGCGUGCCUAAUACAUGCAAGUCGAGCGAACAGACGAGGAUCUUGCUCCUCUGACGUUAGCGGCGGACGGGUGAGUAACACGUGGAUAACCUAUCUAUAAGACUGGGAUAACUUCGGGAAACCGGAGCUAAUACCGGAUAAUAUAUUGAACCGCAUGGUUCAAUAGUGAAAGACGGUUUUGCUGUCACUUAUAGAUGGAUCCGCGCUGCAUUAGCUAGUUGGUAAGGUAACGGCUUACCAAGGCGACGAUUCGUAGCCGACCUGAUAGGGUGAUCGGCCACACUAGAACUGAGACACGGUCCAGACUCCUACGGGAGGCAGCAGUAGGGAAUCUUCCGCAAUGGGCGAAAGCCUGACGGAGCAACGCCGCGUGAGUGAUGAAGGUCUUCGGAUCGUAAAACUCUGUUAUUAGGGAAGAACAAAUGUGUAAGUAACUAUGCACGUCUUGACGGUACCUAAUCAGAAAGCCACGGCUAACUACGUG
rnacentral:rRNA from 1 species